rnacentral:rRNA from 1 species
GAGUUUGAUCCUGGCUCAGAACGAACGCUGGCGGCGUGGAUAAGACAUGCAAGUCGAGCGCGAAUUCUGGUGUAGCAAUACAUCAGAGUUUGAGCGGCGCAAGGGUGCGUAACACGUGGGUAAUUUGCCGUGAAGUUGGGGAUAACUCGCUGAAAGGCGAGCUAAUACCGGAUGUGGUUAUUGGAUGGCAUCAUUUGGUAACUAAAGCUGGGGAUCGUAAGACCUGGCGCUUCAUGAUAAGCCCGCGGCCUAUCAGCUAGUUGGUGAGGUAACGGCUCACCAAGGCUAAGACGGGUAGCUGGUCUGAGAGGACGACCAGCCACACUGGAACUGAGACACGGUCCAGACACCUACGGGUGGCAGCAGUCGAGAAUUUUUCUCAAUGGGCGCAAGCCUGAAGGAGCGACGCCGCGUGGGGGAUGAAGGGUUUCGAUCCGUAAACCCCUGUCAUUCGUGAACAAUGGUUGCCGUUGAACAUUCGGCAACUUGAUAGUAACGGAAGAGGAAGGGACGGC